UUGAACGCUGGCGGCAUGCCUUACACAUGCAAGUCGAACGGUAACAGGUCUUCGGACGCUGACGAGUGGCGAACGGGUGAGUAAUACAUCGGAACGUGCCCGAUCGUGGGGGAUAACGAGGCGAAAGCUUUGCUAAUACCGCAUACGAUCUACGGAUGAAAGCGGGGGAUCUUCGGACCUCGCGCGGACGGAGCGGCCGAUGGCAGAUUAGGUAGUUGGUGGGAUAAAAGCUUACCAAGCCGACGAUCUGUAGCUGGUCUGAGAGGAUGAUCAGCCACACUGGGACUGAGACACGGCCCAGACUCCUACGGGAGGCAGCAGUGGGGAAUUUUGGACAAUGGGCGAAAGCCUGAUCCAGCCAUGCCGCGUGCAGGAUGAAGGCCUUCGGGUUGUAAACUGCUUUUGUACGGAACGAAAAGCCUCUUUCUAAUAAAGAGGGGUCAUGACGGUACCGUAAGAAUAAGCACCGGCUAACUACGUG
rnacentral:rRNA from 1 species